CCCAGAUUUCAAAUUGUGAUUAGUGCCCAACAAUGUCAAGUAACUCUCUUGUAGAAGAGGACAUAUGCAGCAGACGUUUUGAUCCUAUCCUCGCUAACAGAAGAAACAUUCUCAUCAUCAAAUUCAUACCACCUACAAUGGCCAUGAUCAACAAAUGCAGUAUAGUGACCACCUCCCAUGCCUCCAUAAUGAUUACUUAUAGCAUACAGUUCAUAACGAUUAGAAAAUUGGCCAUCCU
rnacentral:misc_RNA from 1 species